GAUGAACGCUGGCGGCGUGCCUAAUACAUGCGAGUCGAGCGAACAGACGAGGAGCUUGCUCCUCUGACGUUAGCGGCGGACGGGUGAGUAACACGUGGAUAACCUACCUAUAAGACUGGGAUAACUUCGGGAAACCGGAGCUAAUACCGGAUAAUAUAUUGAACCGCAUGGUUCAAUAGUGAAAGACGGUUUUGCUGUCACUUAUAGAUGGAUCCGCGCCGCAUUAGCUAGUUGGUAAGGUAACGGCUUACCAAGGCAACGAUGCGUAGCCGACCUGAGAGGGUGAUCGGCCACACUGGAACUGAGACACGGUCCAGACUCCUACGGGAGGCAGCAGUAGGGAAUCUUCCGCAAUGGGCGAAAGCCUGACGGAGCAACGCCGCGUGAGUGAUGAAGGUCUUCGGAUCGUAAAACUCUGUUAUUAGGGAAGAACAAAUGUGUAAGUAACUAUGCACCUCUUGACGGUACCUAAUCAGAAAGCCACGGCUAACUACGUG
rnacentral:rRNA from 1 species